rnacentral:rRNA from 1 species
AUGUUACCUUCCAAACUGUUCAUGCUGAGGUUGAGGUCGGCGAGUCGGCUCAGGAGGCCGAGCUCGGACGGUAUGCCGCCGUGGAAGCUGUUGUUUGAUAGUUGGAGCCUUCUAAGAGCGGUGAGGUUGGCGGCACAAGCGGAUAUGGAGCCAGCGAUGCCCUCGGAUUCGAGGUCGAGUGCAAUGACACGGCGAGGAGGCAGCGCACUGCAGGUGAUCCCGUGCCAGCUGCAGUGGUCCGAGGACGCGUUGCUCCAUGAUGCCAGAGCUCUGCUUGGACCUGAGAGCUUGGACUUGAAGCAAAGGAGAGCUUGUCUGUCAUUCUUGGUUUCAUCGCUGAUGGCUAAUGGCAGGCAGCAAAAGAAGGUGUGGAGACAGAGAAACCAGACAAUGCAUCUACAGGAGGCCAUUGCCGUUAGUCAGAAGUGUGGAGGUGAAGGCUCUCCUCUACUCUACAGGAUGGUGUUUAAGUAUGGUGUAUAA